rnacentral:pre_miRNA from 1 species
UGUUAUGGAUGAGCAAAGAGAGUAGUUUCUCGAGAUAGAAACUACUCCUUGUGAAGAUACCAUGAA